GCCCUCCCGCUGGGGACAGGGCUGCGGCCCAGGUUGUGGUUUGCGCUAGGGGCCCUCCGAAUGUUGUCGGCGGCUGCGGUCAGGCGGGGUCGGGCCGCGGGGGUGCGGGCGGUGCUCGCGGAAGCGAUGUGUCCGCCGCUCGGGCACUGAAGCAAGGCUGUCCGUCUCGGUGGGAAUUGCCCGCCCUGGGGGUCCCGCAGUGCCCCGGCUGUUAUUUUAGGCAGUGUUUGUGUUGCAAUAUGGAGGUGCUGGCAAGCGAGAGUGGUGGAAUAUUAAACUGUUGGGACUUCAGUGUAAAACUCGUAAUUGGCAGAGCAUAAGGCAACAAAUCUGAAAGGAAAGGAAGAAAGGGUUGUUGUUUGAACCCGCAGAAACACAAGUGAAGCCCCUCUGAUGGCUCUUGAUCAGAUCAAGCUGAUGGGCAGCCUGGGAGCCACGCGUGCUGGGGCAGAGACCAGGGCAUGUGACUUCACUGGCUCUUCCCUUCUGCUUUGUUUCUGUCCGGACAGGUGCCGGCCUUGGUGUGGCCAGUUCCAGCCUGGGAACGCUGCUGCUGCUGGCUGGAGGUUUCUGUACGCUUGCUGUAGAGCACAGUUUUGUUCCUGAUCUGAUGCCAGGCACAUGAGAGGAGCAUCUCACUCACACCCAGGUGUGCUGCAGCAGUUGCAAUUACACUAGUCAGAGAAGCACUUCAAAGAAAGUCCUUCUCCCUCCCCCCCCCCGCCCUCCCCACACACACAAUUUAAUGUGUGAAAACUCUUUGCUUUUUUCUUGCCUCUGGACCUGAUUUAGUAAGAAUCAGGUAUUUCACCACGUAAUGACUAGCGGUCAUAGAGAUAGCACCUAGUAGUGUCUCCUGAAAAGCAGUUUGUGACACUGAGAGUUGGGGCAGAAGUGAGGUAUUAAACUAUUUGCGUGUGGACUUAGUGAGGGAGCAGACAGGCUUUGGUUUUUAACAGGGUGUUUGCCUCUAGAAGUAGAACAACUGUAGGAGCUAUGCGAGGCUCCUCUGUAAACUCUUGUAAAGACAGCAUUUCUGAUUGCUUUCCCUUACAAACAUGGAGUAAAAUGCAGGGCUUGUGAACUGUUGCACAACAGAGAAAAGGCAGAAAUCACAUGAUAGGUGUUUCUCCCUUUUUUGAUGUCUUAAGACACAAAAUGUGUCACAACAUACAAGGACAAACAAAACAUAUUUCCUUAACCAGAUUAUCAUGGGAACAGUGUUUGGCUGGAGGAAACUUCACUAAGCCACAUACACAUUGAGAAGCUGAAGAGGUUGUCUUGUGAUUUCAAAGUACUCAUUACACACGCACACAGAGAGAGAGAGAGAGAGAGCCGCGAAGUGUAGAUACACCAACAGUAAUAAACUUACCUUGCAAAACCUGUGAGAAAACAAGACAUUUUAAAGCUGAGCUGCUUACUUAAGUCAGAGGCUGUAUACAAACACUCACGGCUGUCAGGAUGGCUUUAUGCAUGCAGGCAUGCCACUUUGAGUACGAAAACAUGAGGUCUUUGUGAAAGAAAUAUAGAAAGGAUUUCCUCUGAGUUGGAAUGCAGCAAAUGCAUACUGAAGACAUCAUGAUUUUUAGUAAUUACUUUCUCAUCAUUUUCAAUAGUUGCUUUGCAAAGAUGUAUUAUCAAAUUUCAGGAGGUCUCUAUGACUAAGAGUUCUGAAGUUUAUGUUUUGCCCUAAAUUUCUGUGGUUUGUUACAGCUAGUAGCAAGCUGACCAUAUAGCCACCAUAGAAGCAAUUUUUUUGAAGGAAGAAAAAUAGAUGACAUAAACUGCAACAGUGUGCAUUUGCUCAAAAUAUAUUAAGUAUAUAGACAUUCAAAAACCUCAAUAUCCUUGUGCUUUCUAUUCAACUAAACAUUUACUGUUUGUAUUUUUAAUUGCCAAACAGCAGUUGUUAUUGUUAUCAAAGACCGGCCUUUCCUAGGGAAAAUGUUCUAUUUCCUUAUUUGUAAGGAGAAUUUAAAAUAUAUACACUGAGUAAGAAUAUGCAUUUGUAUUUUUCCAAAUUGAAACUUUGCUACAUAACUAAUUUAUGUGCAAAUGAUUCAUGAUAGUGAGAUGAUUUCAUAGUUUGUGUAACUUAUGGGGUUUUGUGGGGUUUUGGGGAUGGGAGGAUCAUAGUGAGUUGUGGAAUUUGAGAAGUUUUUACUUCACAGCUCUUUGCUGAUAUGUCCUGUGCAGUGAGACCUUUUCAGUCCUAUGUCUUUGUUUCUGCAACUGCAUCUGAUACCAACUGAGCAUUGAAAAGCUAUGUAUAAGUUUCCACUGUGUUCAACUGUGGACAAGGACUGCUUUUUUAGAAGGGCAAGAUGUUUAGCUGGCACAACAGGAGGUAAGUCAGAAUUACAGACAGUCUUGCACCAUGAAUCACCUGUGUGCUGUGAUGCGCACUGGGAUACACCAAGACAAACCAAAGCUUACCUAGAUAACACUACGUCCUGCCUCAGGGAGGUUACCAUGUCACCAGCCAGUAUGGGAUCACGAAGUGUAUAUCUACUGUACUCCCUCUUUUUGUGAGUACUCUUAGUGCAUGUUCACAACACACAAAAAUGCCAGAUGCCAUUUUCACUCAGAAGCUAAGCUCACAUUACAGGUUUCUUUAACUACCUUAUAGAGCAAAUAACAUCAGAGAGUUUCUGGAAAUUCUUGAACGUAACAGAAAUGCUUUCACCUUCAGCACACUAGAUUUCAACUUGCUCUGAAUCAUUACUUCUAUGUGGACAUAUCAGUUUCCCAGGUAUUUUUGUAGGUUGUUCAGCUACUUUCUCCAAUUUUUUUUUCUUCAAAAACUAGAUUCCUUUCUGCUUCUCUCAACUCUGCCCUUAACUUCAUUGCUGUACAUAGGUGAAAAUACUCUCUCUUCGCUUUCAGUACUGACCAAGUCAUCCUGCCUAAACCAUUUAUUGAACCCAGCCACACAGUUACUCCACUGUGGCUUCUCACUAGAUGAAUCUUGAGGUCCCAAGUCUGUCUCUUUGCCCUCGAUGAGAAGCAAACACACAGGAAGCCUGGAAGCCCAGGUGCAGAAAGCAGAUGGAAGGGAAAUCAGCCUGGCAAUGGCUAUGAUCACAACUUGGCCAUCAAAAGAAUGCCAUUUAGAAACCUGUGAUGGGAAGCUGGCCUAGGACUCCUGUGUCUCUGGCUCCUGUGCAAAUAACUCCUGUUCGAGAGUUGUCAAUGUGAAGACCACCAGCCACACUGCAGAGGCUGUUGACAGCCUAAAUCAAGCUAAAUAUGCCUUAUUAUACAGCUAAUAUAUAGUUUUAUUUCCAGUGCUGCUCCUAGGCCAUAGACAGAGCUGUCACAGCACUGUUCCUGUUGCUCCCUUCUAUACACCAAGAUGUGUUCACACACCAAACUGCAGUGCAGAUGUGUUCUGGUCAAGUGAACAUUGGGCCAGUAGAAGUGCUUAGAGAUAAUGAGUGGGCAGAUAUAGCUAGAGAUCUUUUUUCAUCAAAUGCUUCUACCUUUUGAUGUCCAACUGCAGUCACACCAGCCACAGCAGUCUUUGUUCUUUUGAGAACACCCCUGCGGGGACUAGUAUCUUCUGCACAAAGUGCUCCUUUCACACUGGCAGAAAGGGUGAAAGCCAGAACCUCCUUCAGCCUCAGACAAAGCCAAGCAAUGCCAGUCUAUAGAUAGCUGUGUUAUUCACAGUAGUCACAGUACUUUCUUCAGUAACAUAGAAAUCAAAACUCUGAAGGAUGACAACCCCUGUUGCCUAUUAAUUUAUCUCUCUCUUUUCUGGAAGGUAACUUUCCAAAUUAUUUCAAGAAUAACAGCUUUUGAGGAACUCUAUGUAUGCAAAAUUCCAACUAUUUCAGCAAAGACCUGUCAUUCUUCUAAGAGUCAAGAACAACACCUUAACUGGUCACGUUCCCGUUGCGACAGCUCCAAAACUGCUUUCAGCUUCCACAAGUCACCAGAUGACAGAAGCUGUGUAUUUCUCAAUAGGCACAAGAACUUGCAUAGUGGUGUGCUGACUUUAUAGUUGAAGGUUUGAACUCAGCACUAAUCUCCAGGGAAACUUCAACAUGAAAUUCAUCUGCCACUGCACAUCCCAGGCAUGAAGCACAGCCCUCACCAUUUGUUACUUUGGUUAUUUGAAAUCAGAAUUUCUGAAAUUUGUUUUCUUCUUUGACGUCCAUUUUUGUCUUCAUUAUGUUGGUGCAAAUGCAAAGAGGAAUGGGCUUACCUGUGUCUGCUGGAAAAAGAUCAAAAAAGCAAAACUCUUCUGCAAAGGUAGCUGACUUGCAAAGCUGCAGCAGGUUGACAAUGUGUCUGAAACAUCUAUUCAACGUGAAAAUAUAAGCUAUGUCAUGCUUCUCUGUGGCAAGGAUGUGCACUAAAGAAGGUCCAUGGACCAGCUAUCUCAAGACAGGGCAUUCCUCACCAAAGAACUCAGGUGACUUUGGAGUUUAUAAUGAUCCUUCAACAUUAAAAACAUUUUCAGCUAAGAGGAAAAAGAAGCAAGUUCACGUGCUUUUUGGGUAAGAACAAAGGUGACUCACAAUUGCUUCUAUUCCCCCAUGACAAAUGGGAAGACUGAGGGGAAAAAUGAAGCAGUGCUACUGUUGGUGGCAGUGAAGUAAAAUGAAUGACCCAUAGAUUUUUCACUGAAGGCUCUUCACAGAGGCACGCUGAGCAGAUUGGCCAGGAGAAGAGAUCUCCAACUUGCUCUGAAAGUGAGAAGAAACCAAGAGAGAGCCUUCUCUGAGUGGAAGCCAGGCAGAGAGCUCUCACAAGACAGUGCUUGGCAGAUGCAAUCAAUCACCAUUCCAGCAUGUGCAGCUCCGGACUACAUGGCACAACUUCCACUUGCCCAAUGGGGAUGGGAAGACAUAUAGGAAACAAAGGAUUAUGAUAUUCUAGGUAGGAACGGAGACAAAAGAGAGGCCCAAAGAUGAUGAGAACUGUUCAGAUCUGCCCUGCCAUCUCUCAUUAUACAGAAUCAUGUUCUUCUUUCAUCCAUGUUGUCCAGCAGACUUCAUAGCUGGUUUUCUCAAUUACUUGUACAAGACUCUGUCUAUAGCUACAUAUUACCACUACUGCAGACAGACUUCUAGCUAGGAAGAACAAGAAAGACAUAAUCCAACUGGAACAUCUUCUAUAAAGAAACCAGAAUAUAUUGGCUAGGAAGAGCAAUCCUUUCCUGUGCAAGCAGGUAGUCUGUGGGGAGGAAAAGGCAGCCUGAGUUAUGCUUUUGUGUUUGUCUGGUUUUGACUACUUGAAGUCUUCUGGGGUAUGUGAAAUCACUGUAAAGACUGAGCACCCUGUGACUGCCAGGUAUGAUGUGACAAUUACUUCCCAUCAGUAGCAGAAACCGAUUGAGAUAAUGAUAUCAGUUGCUUUUUUUUAAAAAAUCAAACAUCUUUGAAGAGUAGUUAGACUGAAAUGAUCAACACAGAAGUGCAACAUAUUGGAUGAGGAAUGCCUUAUUUAAUAUAGGUUUUAAAAACAGGGCACUUUCUGUAGAUGCCACUUCUAAAACAUUUGACAAGAACCUUCAGCCGUUCCAGCUCUGAAGGGAGUGACAAGCCAUGCCCUGUAAGGUUAUCCACAGAGGUAAUUUCCUGUAAUUCUGCAAGCUCACUCAAAUCAAUAAACCAUAUAUAUGUAUUUAAA